rnacentral:rRNA from 1 species
AUACGUAUGUCGCAAGCGUUAUCCGGAAUUAUUGGGUGUAAAGCGAGUCUAGGCGGCUUGUUAAGUCAGAUGUGAAAAUGCGGGGCUCAACUCCGUAUUGCGUUUGAAACUGGCAGGCUAGAGUACUGGAGAGGUGGGCGGAACUACAAGUGUAGAGGUGAAAUUCGUAGAUAUUUGUAGGAAUGCCGAUAGUGAAGACAGCUCACUGGACAGAUACUGACGCUAAAGCUCGAAAGCGUGGGGAGCGAACAGGAUUAGAAACCCCAGUAGUCC